CCUACGGGUGGCAGCAGUGAGGAAUAUUGGUCAAUGGACGAGAGUCUGAACCAGCCAAGUAGCGUGAAGGAUGACUGCCCUAUGGGUUGUAAACUUCUUUUAUAAAGGAAUAAAACGAGGCACGUGUGCCUUUUUGCAUGUACUUUAUGAAUAAGGAUCGGCUAACUCCGUGCCAGCAGCCGCGGUAAUACGGAGGAUCCGAGCGUUAUCCGGAUUUAUUGGGUUUAAAGGGAGCGUAGAUGGGUUGUUAAGUCAGUUGUGAAAGUUUGCGGCUCAACCGUAAAAUUGCAAUUGAUACUGGCAGUCGUGAGUACAGUUGAGGUAGGCGGAAUGCGGUGAGUAGCGGUGAAAUGCGUAGAUAUCACGAAGAACCCCGAUUGCGAAGGCAGCUUACUAAACUGUGACUGACAUUGAUGCUCGAAAGUGUGGGUAUCAAACAGGAUUAGAUACCCUUGUAGUC
rnacentral:rRNA from 1 species